rnacentral:rRNA from 1 species
AUUGAACGCUGGCGGAAUGCUUUACACAUGCAAGUCGAACGGCAGCACGGGGCAACCUGGUGGCGAGUGGCGAACGGGUGAGUAAUACAUCGGAACGUGCCCAAUCGUGGGGGAUAACGUAGCGAAAGUUACGCUAAUACCGCAUACGAUCUACGGAUGAAAGCGGGGGAUCGCAAGACCUCGCGCGAAUGGAGCGGCCGAUGUCAGAUUAGGUAGUUGGUGGGGUAAAGGCUCACCAAGCCGACGAUCUGUAGCUGGUCUGAGAGGACGACCAGCCACACUGGGACUGAGACACGGCCCAGACUCCUACGGGAGGCAGCAGUGGGGAAUUUUGGACAAUGGGCGCAAGCCUGAUCCAGCCAUUCCGCGUGCAGGAUGAAGGCCUUCGGGUUGUAAACUGCUUUUGUACGGAACGAAACGGCGAGCUCUAAUACAGUUUGCUAAUGACGGUACCGUAAGAAUAAGCACCGGCUAACUACGUGCCAGCAGCCGCAGUAACAC